GGAUAAGGUGGCAGUACAAUGCGGGUUGCCGAUGGGGGUGGUUGCCGAUGAGGGAGAAGUUGAGUGUGACUAAGUCUACAGGCAGUAGUAUGGUGCCGAUGACCAGGUAAAGGGAUUGCCGAUGACGUGAAAGAGGAGUCCGGAAGCUGCCAGUUGUCAUGUGGAGGAGUUUCGGUUUGUUACGAAGGGUAGUUUUAUUGUUUCCUUAGUUAUUUGCAUCGUUUUGUAUAUGGAUUCCGUGUAAUUUGGAAUUCGAGUUCUAAUCGUGUCUGGUCGUAGCUCUUCGAACAGGGUAUAAAUAUAAACCCUAGGACCUUGUAAU
rnacentral:lncRNA from 1 species